AGUUAAAAAGCCAAAGAAAAGCCUGUUGCCUUGAAACCAACAUGAAAGAAGUUUGAAUCUUCUAUUAACUU
rnacentral:tRNA from 1 species